rnacentral:tRNA from 1 species
GGUGAGGUGGAUGAGUGGCUGAAAUCACCGGUUUGCUAAACCGACGUACGGGUCAAACCGUACCGGGGGUUCGAAUCCCCCCCUCACCG